rnacentral:rRNA from 1 species
UGGUGGGUAGUUUGACUGGGGCGGUCUCCUCCUAAAGAGUAACGGAGGAGCACGAAGGUUGGCUAAUCCUGGUCGGACAUCAGGAGGUUAGUGCAAUGGCAUAAGCCAGCUUGACUGCGAGCGUGACGGCGCGAGCAGGUGCGAAAGCAGGUCAUAGUGAUCCGGUGGUUCUGAAUGGAAGGGCCAUCGCUCAACGGAUAAAAGGUACUCCGGGGAUAACAGGCUGAUACCGCCCAAGAGUUCAUAUCGACGGCGGUGUUUGGCACCUCGAUGUCGGCUCAUCACAUCCUGGGGCUGAAGUAGGUCCCAAGGGUAUGGCUGUUCGCCAUUUAAAGUGGUACGCGAGCUGGGUUUAGAACGUC